rnacentral:rRNA from 1 species
GAUGAACGCUAGCGGCAGGCCUAACACAUGCAAGUCGAGGGGGAAGUUACUUUCGGGUGACUGAGACCGGCGUACGGGUGCGUAACGCGUAUACAAUCUGCCUUUCACUGGGUGAUAGCCCGAAGAAAUUUGGAUUAAUACCCCAUAGUAUAUAGGGACGGCAUCGUUUUUAUAUUAAAGCUUAGGUGGUGAAAGAUGAGUAUGCGUUCUAUUAGCUAGUUGGAGAGGUAACGGCCCCCCAAGGCGAUGAUAGAUAGGGGUUCUGAGAGGGAUGUCCCCCACACUGGUACUGAGAUACGGACCAGACUCCUACGGGAGGCAGCAGUGAGGAAUAUUGGACAAUGGUCGGAAGACUGAUCCAGCCAUGCCGCGUGCAGGAUGAAGGUCUUAUGGAUUGUAAACUGCUUUUGUAAGGGAAGAAUAAGGGCUACGCGUAGUUUGAUGACGGUACCUUACGAAUAAGCAUCGGCUAACUCCGUG